GGAUGCUAACGGCAGUUAGCCUCCGGACUUGUAUCUGUGUAGACGCUAAGUGUGAAUAAAUCUGUAUAUGAGAGAAUUCUAGUUGUUUACCUACAACUAUUCCAUAUUCCCUCAAUAGUAUUCCUCUAAAACUCAUUGACUCACCCUUGGAUUAUACAACACACACACACUUAAAAACGAUUACAGCAGUUGCAGAAGGGAAAGAAUGUUGCAGAAAAAAAGAUGCUAUAUUGAAACACUGAGAGAUCCAAACCCUUGGAUGAAAUUGUUUGAAGAAGUAUCCAGUGAAGGUGACAUGGCAGAUAAAUUAGAAGAGGAUCCACUGGAAACUGAAGAAAAUGUAAUAACUACAAGUGAUUACAAUUCAGACACAGAAGAAGAAAUGUCAGAGACAGAAAUAUUAGAAACAGAAGUAAAUUAUCUGCAUUUGAGAGUAUACAUAGUAAGUACUACAUCGGAGUAAGUACUACAUUGGAAAAGAUAAAGUUAUGAAAUGGAGAAAAAUUAAACCAAAAGAAGCAGCAAUAUUAUUACACAUAUACCUGAACCUACAGGAAAUGCCCUUCAAACAAAAUCAGAAAUCAAAUUUAUUCAGUUAUUCAUAACAGAUCCACUUAUAAGAAUGAUACAAAAAUCAACUAAUAUAUACAUACAAAGCAUUCAGCAGUGAUUCGAUAGAACCAGAGAUGCUAGAUUUACAAAUGAAUGAGAAAUAAGUCCUUCAAUUGAAAUAUUGUUUGUGACAGAAACUGUAUAAAGCCCAAUAAAAAAUGUAGCUCAGCUUUGGGAUAACUCAAAA